GCCUACGGGGGGCAGCAGUGGGGGAUAUUGCACAAUGGGGGGAACCCUGAUGCAGCGACGCCGCGUGAGUGAAGAAGUAAUUCGUUAUGUAAAGCUCUAUCAGCAGGGAAGAAUAAAUGACGGUACCUGAGUAAGAAGCCCCGGCUAACUACGUGCCAGCAGCCGCGGUAAUACGUAGGGGGCAAGCGUUAUCCGGAUUUACUGGGUGUAAAGGGAGCGUAGACGGCGAUGCAAGCCAGAUGGGAAAGCCCGCGGCUCAACU
rnacentral:rRNA from 1 species